GCGGCCGGAUAAAGGCCUUGGGAAUGUAGCUCCUCUCGGGGAGUGUUAUAGCCCUCGGUGCAAUGUGGCCAGCCCGGACCGAGGACCGCGCUUCGGCUAGGAUGCUGGCGUAAUGGUUGUAAGCGACCCGUCUUGAAACACGGACCAAGGAGUCGAAUAUCUUUGCGAGUGUUUGGGUGUCAAGCCCAUACGCGGAAUGAAAGUGAACGGAGGUGAGAACCCUUAAGGGCGCAUCAUCGACCGAUCCAGAUGUCUUCGGAUGGAUUUGAGUACAAGCAAAAAUGUUCCGACCCGAAAGAUGGUGAUCUAUACUUGAAUAGGGUGAAGCCAGAGGAAACUCUGGUGGAGGCUCGCAGCGGUUCUGACGUGCAAAUCGAUCGUCAAAUUUGAGUAUAGGGGCGAAAGACUAAUCGAACCAUCUGAACCCCAUCUACUGGAUGGUUCAAUCGAGGCCCCGUCGGGGGCCCGAUCCAGUCCCUCUCGGGGGCCACACUGCCAGUCUUCGGGUACGCCUUUGGCUACCUGCAGCGAGCCCGUCAGGGCCCGUUCACUGACUAAACGGCGGUGGCCGCGUCUG
rnacentral:rRNA from 1 species